AAUCAACGCUGGCGGCGUGCCUAACACAUGCAAGUCGAACGAGAAAGGGGCUUCGGCCCUGAGUAAAGUGGCGCACGGGUGAGUAACACGUGACUACCUACCCUGGAGUGGGGAAUAACUUCGAGAAAUCGAGGCUAAUACCGCAUAACACCUACGGGUCAAAGGAGCAAUUCGCUUCAGGAGGGGGUCGCGGCAGAUAAGUUAGUUGGCAGGGUAAUGGCCUACCAAGACAGUGAUCUGUAUCCGGCCUGAGAGGGCGCACGGACACACUGGAACUGAAACACGGUCCAGACUCCUACGGGAGGCAGCAGUGGGGAAUUUUGCGCAAUGGGGGAAACCCUGACGCAGCAACGCCGCGUGGAGGAUGAAGCCUCUUGGGACGUAAACUCCUUUCGACCGGGACGAUAAUGACGGUACCGGAAGAAGAAGCCCCGGCUAACUUCGUGCCAGCCGCCGCAGUAAAAC
rnacentral:rRNA from 1 species